rnacentral:misc_RNA from 1 species
AAGUCGUAACAAGGUUUCCGUAGGUGAACCUGCGGAAGGAUCAUUACCGAGUACCGGGUUGGUAUUUAUGCCUCCCGUUCUCCCACCCUUUGUUUACCUGUUCUUGUUGCCUCGGCGGGCCUGCGGGCCCCGCCUGCUGCCGGCUUCGGCUGGCUAGCGCCCGCCAGGGGACCAACCAAACUCUAUUUUAACGUGUCGUCUGAGUACAACAUCAAUAAGUUAAAACUUUCAACAACGGAUCUCUUGGUUCUG